UUAAGUGACUGCAGUAUAUGGAUGAUG
rnacentral:piRNA from 1 species